GCACAGUGACUCGCCGAUUCACUGUGCGGAAUCGGCGAGUCCGUGAAGAACACGGGUUGCACAGUGUUCUUCACGGAUUUUUUCAAAUUUGUCAUUUUUUGAUCAUUUUUUUUGUUUUUUUCGGCAUGUGAUCUGUUUUUCAGGCUGUAAACAGCUUUAUUCAGAUUUUUCAAGGAUUAAAUGGUGGAAAAAUUGGUUGUUUUUGGAUCAAGAAAAAUUCGG
rnacentral:lncRNA from 1 species